CUGGCGUCCUGUGCUCAGAAACUCGAGUGACCGGGGAGGUGCUCAUCGACCUCCUCAGUCUGGUCUCCACGGAUCGGCCCUGUGCUCACAGACCUGGGCCGCACUGGGGACAGACACACACACACACG